ACAUUCAUCUGGCAGGGGAGAUACUAUGAUUGUGCAGGUGGGGUUCCCAGGGCGAGGCUUAUACCUUGUACUCCAGAUGGGCUGACCCCUCUGAUUUCCCCCAAUAUGAGAAACUCAAAUGCAUAAUUUGUGGUAGUGGGGGACUCUGUUCACACUUUCCCUAA
ensembl:snRNA U1 U1 spliceosomal RNA